GGGCCGGUAGAUCAGCUGGCAGAUCGCUUGGUUCGCAAUCAAGAGGGCGUGGGUUCAAAUCCCACCCGGUCCACCA
rnacentral:tRNA from 2 species